rnacentral:misc_RNA from 1 species
UCUCCGUAGGUGAACCAGCGGAGGGAUCAUUAUUGAAUAACCAAGCUGCGAGGGCUGUCUCUGACCCGCAUAGUCCGUUACGUCCGAGUGCCGUCCCCCACCUCCAUCUCACCCCCAUGGGCACGACCGCGUCGGUACCCCUUCUGCUAGUUCGGUGGGCGCCCUACGUUUUCUCACAAAAUUUGUAUGCAGUGUUGAAUAAAUUUUCUGUUUUUGCGGGCACGCAAUCAAUACAACUCACAACAACGGAUCUCUUGUCUCUCGCAUCGUCAAGAAACC